rnacentral:ncRNA from 1 species
GCAGAGUAGACUGCAAUGCGUUAAGUGCCGCUGAGACGGGGAGUUGUUCAGCGGACGAAAGGGACGAAAAUCCCCUGCGGUGUUGUAGUCGCAUCCCGCUGC